CCCAAUGCCGGCUUUGACUUCUUAUUUGUCACAUUAUGCUACAGUCAGUAGUCUCAAGUCACUCUGCAAUUCCUGGAAGUCGCUAUUUUAGCUGAAAUAUGUGGCUGUGUUGUGACCGAAGGAUUCACCAAUGUUAUAUAUUUUUGCAGGUGAACAGCAUCCCAGAAGGUUUUCAAAAUGGGACUCUGGAAGAUUGGUUGGUUCUGUUUUCUGAAAUCAUACAGAGUUCCUCUCGCCCCGUGUGUGUGGCUUGGCUAGACAAUAAACUUUCUGAAAGAAGCAGCGAUGUCAAAGAGGCACUAGUUACUUUGAUUCUCCAGAAAUUAGAAGGACAGAGCGCCGUACUUCAGAAGAUCAGGAGAUUGGGCAAGGAGGAUCUUUUUGCAUAAUUAUUACUCUGCUUUUUAAAGUUUGGUUCUCUCAGGAAGGAUUGCUAUUACAACAGUUGCUUGUUUGUCUCACAGGGGAUUUCCAUUUUAGAAGAUCUGGUGAUUGCAAUAGCAGAUGGCAUUGCAAGUAUCUAUUCGGAGCUCAUCUCUGUAGAUGGAAAUUUGUCAAAUGAG